UACGGAGGAUGCGAGCGUUAUCCGGAUUUAUUGGGUUUAAAGGGUGCGUAGGCGGGAAAGAAAGUCAGCAUGUGAAAGUUUGGGGCUCAACCUUAAAAUUGCAGUUGAAACUUCUUUUCUUGAGUAUGUAUAAGGUAUGCGGAAUUCGUGGUGUAGCGGUGAAAUGCUUAGAUAUCACGAAGAACUCCGAUUGCGAAGGCAGCAUACCGGGCCAUAACUGACGCUGAUGCACGAAAGCGUGGGUAUCAAACAGG
rnacentral:rRNA from 1 species